rnacentral:misc_RNA from 1 species
AUGUAACCGGACCGGUCCUCUGCCGUCAAACGCAGCGGAUGGGAAUGGGAGAUAUCAUACACCCUAUGUUUAUUUACUUUUGUUGCUUUGGCGGGCCGUCCUCUUAGGUGUCGGCCCCGGCUGAUCGCGCCCGCCAGAGGACCCAAACUCUGAAUGUUAGUGUCGUCUGAGUACUAUACAAUAGUUA